rnacentral:rRNA from 1 species
UACGGGGGGAGCAAGCGUUGUUCGGAUUUACUGGGCGUAAAGGGCGCGUAGGCGGCGCAACAAGUCACUUGUGAAAUCUCCGGGCUUAACCCGGAGCGGUCAAGUGAUACUGUCGUGCUAGAGUGCGGAAGGGGCUACUGGAAUUCUCGGUGUAGCGGUGAAAUGCGUAGAUAUCGAGAGGAACACCAAUGGCGAAGGCAGCUCUCUGGGACGGUACUGACGCUGAGACGCGAAAAGCGUGGGGGAGCGAACAGG